rnacentral:rRNA from 1 species
CCCCUAGUAACUGCGAGUGAAGCGGGAAAAGCUCAAAUUUAAAAUCUGGCGGUCUCCGGCCGUCCGAGUUGUAGUCUGGAGAAGCGUUUUCCGCGUUGGACCGUGUACAAGUUUCCUGGAACGGAGCGUCAUAGAGGGUGAGAAUCCCGUCUUUGACACGGACCCCAAUGCUUUGUGAUGCGCUCUCAAAGAGUCGAGUUGUUUGGGAAUGCAGCUCAAAAUGGGUGGUGAAUUCCAUCUAAAGCUAAAUAUUGGCGAGAGACCGAUAGCGAACAAGUACCGUGAGGGAAAGAUGAAAAGCACUUUGGAAAGAGAGUUAAACAGUACGUGAAAUUGUUGAAAGGGAAACGCUUGAAGUCAGUCGCGUCGUCCGGGACUCAGCCUUGCAUUCGCUUGGUGUACUUUCCGGUCGACGGGCCAGCAUCAGUUUUGACCGCGAGACAAAGGCGGAGGGAAUGUGGCUCUUUCGGGAGUGUUAUAGCCCUUCGUCGCAUGUCGCGGUUGGGACUGAGGACCGCAGCACGCCUUUAUGGCCGGGGUUCGCCCACGUACGUGCUUAGGAUGCUGGCGUAAUGGCUUUAAACGACCCGUCUUGAAACACGGACCAAGGAGUCUAACAUGCCUGCGAGUGUUCGGGUGGAAAACCCGUGCGCGUAAUGAAAGUGAAAGUUGGGAUCCCUGUCGUGGGGUGCACCGACGCCCGGACCAGACCUUUUGUGACGGAUCUGCGGUAGAGCAUGUAUGUUGGGACCCGAAAGAUGGUGAACUAUGCCUGAAUAGGGUGAAGCCAGAGGAAACUCUGGUGGAGGCUCGUAGCGAUUCUGACGUGCAAAUCGAUCGUCAAAUUUGGGUAUAGGGGCGAAAGACUAAUCGA